CUCCCAAUAGCUCAGUUGGUUUAGAGCGUUCGGCUGUAACUGUUAAAGACAUGAUUGUCACCGAAAGGUCACCUGUUCGACUCAGGUUUGGGAGA